AUCAUUGACAGCUCAAGAUGCGUUAGUCAUGAGUUUCGUCGUGUCAUUAGCCCGUUUGCUUAAAAAAACAAACGUCUGUAGGACUAAAGAACGGUUUAAAAGUUUUUGGAUUAUUAUUAUCAUUGAGACAGCUGAUAAGUGACGCAUUCAAGCCAACUGGGAAAGAAGGGCACUGACCUGGCUGGUAGAAGGAAGGGGAGAGCUCUUUGGCCACCAGUCUGGCGAUGCUGGACUCACUGUUGGAGGCCUGUGCAGCCUGAUCAGCCCCAUCGGACUUGGCCUUCGCAUGGGUCGUCCUGCAGGGGAACACACAUGCGACACGAUUCAUAAAUCACUGGCACUCUGAGAGCGCAGACCUUUGCCAAGGCAAGGCCCAUUUCACUGGAGCUGUAUGCAUCACUCCAGUGACUUAUCUCUGUCUCAUGGAAAUAUGUGUGAUGAGUCUUUAGUUACUUGCCAGCCAUAACUCAUUGUCCUGCUGGGGGGGUGGGGUGAUAAAAAUAUAAUUUAUUUCUGUUCCAGCCCAACAGCAGAAAAUGACACCUCCUCUCUCAAUAGCUAUUAAUACUAAGGAGCCAUAUGACCUGCAGCCACGCACCCAUUGAAUACUGUAAACAAUCCCCUUUACUGUAAUAUUUUUGGUUAAACUGUUUUAAGCCUUCAUCUAUUAGGUUUCCCAUUCAAGGUUCAUACAUAAGGUCAAGAUCAAAGUCAGCAUGCAUUUAGUCUGGAUGCGACGACGGUUCAUUUACCGCAGGAUUCCCUUACCUUCCGCUUUCUAUGUGUUUAUGUUCUAACCUCCGAGCUACCUAGCUAACGUUCCAUGCUGAAAAUGGCAAGUUUUGGAGAAAAUUUAGAUUGUGCAACAACGCAGGCCUGCUUGG